GCCCUUAUAGCUCAGUGGUAGAGCGCAUCACUAGUAUGACGUCAGCUUAGCUGCUUAUGAAAUGAUGAGGUCCUCUGUUCGACCCAGAGUGAGGGCA
rnacentral:tRNA from 1 species